GAUGAACGCUGGCGGCGUGCUUAACACAUGCAAGUCGAACGAAGCAUUUAAGACAGAUUACUUCGGUUUGAAGUCUUUUAUGACUGAGUGGCGGACGGGUGAGUAACGCGUGGGUAACCUGCCUCAUACAGGGGGAUAGCAGCUGGAAACGGCUGGUAAUACCGCAUAAGCGCACAGUACCACAUGGUACAGUGUGAAAAACUCCGGUGGUAUGAGAUGGACCCGCGUCUGAUUAGCUUGUUGGCGGGGUAACGGCCCACCAAGGCGACGAUCAGUAGCCGACCUGAGAGGGUGACCGGCCACAUUGGGACUGAGACACGGCCCAGACUCCUACGGGAAGCAGCAGUGGGGAAUAUUGCACAAUGGAGGAAACUCUGAUGCAGCGACGCCGCGUGAGUGAAGAAGUAGUUCGCUAUGUAAAGCUCUACCAGCAGGGAAGAUAGUGACGGUACCUGACUAAGAAGCUCCGGCUAAAUACGUG
rnacentral:rRNA from 1 species